rnacentral:rRNA from 1 species
CUCAGGAUGAACGCUGGCGGCGUGCUUAACACAUGCAAGUCGAACGAUGAUGCCAGCUUGUUGGUGGAUUAGUGGCGAACGGGUGAGUAACACGUGAGUAACCUGCCCUUGACUCUGGGAUAAGCCUGGGAAACUGGGUCUAAUACCGGAUAUGACCUUCCAUCGCAUGGUGGUUGGUGGAAAGCUUUUGUGGUUUUGGAUGGACUCGCGGCCUAUCAGCUUGUUGGUGGGGUAAUGGCCUACCAAGGCGACGACGGGUAGCCGGCCUGAGAGGGUGACCGGCCACACUGGGACUGAGACACGGCCCAGACUCCUACGGGAGGCAGCAGUGGGGAAUAUUGCACAAUGGGCGCAAGCCUGAUGCAGCGACGCCGCGUGAGGGAUGACGGCCUUCGGGUUGUAAACCUCUUUCAGUAGGGAAGAAGCGUAAGUGACGGUACCUGCAGAAGAAGCGCCGGCUAACUACGUGCCAGCAGCCGCGGUAAUACGUAGGGCGCAAGCGUUAUCCGGAAUUAUUGGGCGUAAAGAGCUCGUAGGCGGUUUGUCGCGUCUGCCGUGAAAGUCCGGGGCUCAACUCCGGAUCUGCGGUGGGUACGGGCAGACUAGAGUGAUGUAGGGGAGACUGGAAUUCCUGGUGUAGCGGUGAAAUGCGCAGAUAUCAGGAGGAACACCGAUGGCGAAGGCAGGUCUCUGGGCAUUAACUGACGCUGAGGAGCGAAAGCAUGGGGAGCGAACAGGAUUAGAUACCCUGGUAGUCCAUGCCGUAAACGUUGGGCACUAGGU